UAAAUCCCCUACAUGAUACAAAACGACUCAACAAUCCUGUAAAACUCUGUAGGCUUAACUGCUGCGACUCAGAUAUGUCAAUCUGAAAUGGCCCUCAAGGCCUAUACCAGGGACUACUACCUGCUGUGGCUCAAGGGAUUGAAACCCUUUUAAUCUGUAACACGUCCCAUUGGUAUCUCAUCAAAGCCAUACGUUAAGCCCAACUCACACAUUUCUCAUCAAGAAACGUAAAACAGGAUGCAUGUACAAAGGGAUUAAUCAUACAUCACACUAUGGCAAAGACACUAGAGAAAGCACAAGUCUAUCCAGUAAAUGACAAUACAUAUCGAUACAUUACAUGACAACUAAUCUUUUAAUUACAUCAUGUCCACUAUGCUAUUACAACCAUACAUUCAUGCAUCACUGUUCCCUGUACUCUUGCUGACUUUGACUUCCCAUAGCUAUCUCAGAACCUGCAAAACUGGGGUUAAGGGAGUGGGAUGAGCUACUACAGCCCAGUGAGAAGGAACAGUAAACAGGUCAUUAAUUACAUGCUUUCAUGAAAUGUAUCACAUCACAAACAUAUCACCUCAAGGAUGAACUUGUCACCAAUAGCCCUUUCCUGUAUACAUAUAACAAUAUGUCCAACUUGCCAGGGGCGAUUAGGCCUCACCUGGACUUCUCUUGCCUAACGUUAUCACAAGGCCAACUGUGCCAGGGGCGAUUAGGCCUCACCUGGACUUCUCUGUCCGAGUCAGGUCAAACUGUCUAUCUCAUAGUACCAGGAGCGACCUGGACUAUCCAGGAGCGACCUGGUAUGGCUAGCUCAUGCCAUAACUCUGUGCUCUAUCAAGGGCUAAGGAUCAUCCAACAUUCAUCCAUACAAAUAUCAUCUUAUGCAAUGCAUCAAAUUCGUGAAACGAAUGCAAUACAACCUAAUAUAAAACAUGACAUUUUAUGAUGCAUGGAACAUGCUAGAAGCGUGUCAUUUCUGAAUUGAACAUAUACAGAUUAGUUCCACUCACCUGUAGCCUCUGCUUGGCUAACUCUGGGCUAACUAGCUCUGGACCAACUCUAACUCUGAAGACUGCUAAACACCUCGUUUUCUCGGGUCCAAUCCUACAAUGGAGGACUUAAAUGAGGUACCAAACAUACUCUAGUCAACAGAUAAACAUCUCUUUGACAACUUCCCAAAACCCCUCUAAAACACUUAAAAACAUGCAUGCAAAACAAGCAAAGGAAGGCUGGACAGGGCACCUUCGGCAGCACCUUCGGCGGCCGAAUGUCUCCUCCAGAGACGAAAGUCAGGCAUGUUCGGCGGCCUAACUUGGACUUUCGGCGGCCGAACCUGAGUUCAUCCAGAACUCAGUUUCGUGCACAAGGACGCCUGCCAGUCCCUCCAUCAUCUGCUCAGCCCUCAAUACAUGCAUUUAACCCCUCUAAAACAUGCAUAAACACUUGACCAAGCAUAAAGGAGCUUAAACUCCAACAAAACAAGCUCACACAAGGCACACAUCAAACAUAAAGGAUUCAUACACCCUAUUAUGCCCAUCUCAUGGAAACUCAUGCCUAGCUCCCUUUUCCCUUUACAAAACUCAUAUAAACCAUCAUAAAAACCAGAGAUCAACACUUACCUUUUGAAGAACAAAGGCUGGUAUGAUUCCAACUCAAAGAUAUGGAGAAACCAAGCUUCAAAAGCAUCAAACUCCAAAACCUUGUUUAAAGCUUAUCACUUUUCAAAACAAGGGGAAAACUCAUUAAAACCUUGAAAGAGGUGAAGAAAAAACCAUGAAAACACUUCAAGGAGAUCAAGAACUUACCUAGGCCAGAAGGAGAGAAGAAG
rnacentral:lncRNA from 1 species